rnacentral:rRNA from 1 species
AUUGAACGCUGGCGGCAGGCUUAACACAUGCAAGUCGAACGAGUGGCGGACGGGUGAGUAAUGCUUGGGAAUCUAGCUUAUGGAGGGGGAUAACUACGGGAAACUGUAGCUAAUACCGCGUACCAUAGGAUAAGCCCAAGUGGGAUUAGGUAGUGGGUGAGGAAAAGGUUCACCAGGCCGACGAUCUCUAGCUGGUCUGAGAGGAUGACCAGCCCCACUGGGACUGAGACACGGCCCAGACGCCGACGGGAGGCAGCAGUGGGGAAUAGUGUACAAUGGGGGCAAGCCUGAUGCAGCCAUGCCGCGUGUAUGAAGAAGGCCUUAGGGGUGUAAAGUACUUUCAGCGGGGAGGCUUUACCCGCAGAAGAAGCACCGGCUAACUCCGUGCCAGCCGCCGCGGUAAUUC